AUGAAACUGGUGAAAAGACAAGUCAAAACCAAGGCAAAUGCCCAGCCCAGAAUUGUUCAGUGGAAGCCCCUGCAUGGAUGCCUGUCCACCAUUGCACUGUAAGUUUGAUUAUGUCAAGAUUCGCUAAAUUGAAGCAGAAA
rnacentral:lncRNA from 1 species